CAUAUCACUUGUAAGGGUGGCCAUUUGUGACACAGUCCAAAUGCAAAGCAAAUCAUCACCCGAAUGCUUGCCGAAGAGUCUGCCCUGUGCGCACAGGAGUGCAGGGAACCUUGACAUCAGUUGAAACUGCAGCCUACACAUAUGAGAACAGCUCCAGAGCAGGAAAGCCACAGCUCUCAUCUUCUGGUUCAACGUGCUGUGGAGCCCUGUGCCUACGUGUGUGCACAUUUGUUUCAGUCAGACCCUGCCUGAAGAAGAUUACAGCAGCAAAAGCCCAGACAAAGACAAGAAAUAAGAGCCAUCAUGCUCUCUGACUGCCACCAGUUGGCUCAGGCCUCUCUCAAAGUGGGGUGAUUCCAUGUCCAGGAAAGGACCCAGCAGUCUUCCAAAGAGAAUUCUGAUGGAUAAUGGCACAGCAAUGGAUUUUGACUUUUUUCAACGAUUUGACACUGGUGACCACCACAUGAUAUUUGAAUAUUAGGAAAAACUUAUUCUCUGAAGGAGUGGUGAUGCGCUAGAACAGGCUGCCCAGAGAGGUGGUGGAGCCACCAUCCUUGGAGGUGUUCAAGAAUCUUGCAGAUGCAAUACUUAGGGACGUGGUUGGUGGGUAACAUUGGUGGUAGGUGGACGAUUGGACUAGAUGAUCUUAGGGGUCUUUUCCAACCUUAAUGGUUCUAUGCUUUUAUUAUUCUAUGGUUUGGGACCAUUAGUAGGACUCACAACAGAUUUGUAUUUGUGGAAUUCAUUGCUCACGCCUGUGCUUUGUUCAUGCUGUUAAUUUCUCCUGCCCACUUGCAGAGCCUGGUGGCUGUCUUUCUUGAAUCACACACUGUUUUACAGGGCCACAUUUCCAGUUAGCCAUUUCAAAUUCUAACACUGCCUUCGAGGCACGUGUAGAUCUCCUUCCAGCUCACUGCCAUCUGCAGAUAUAAUUCCCUAGUGCAUCCACCAAGCUGAUAAUGAAAACAUGGGAUUAUAGGAGACCCGGAGUACCCACUCAAUAAAUCUUUACAGUCUGACA
rnacentral:lncRNA from 1 species